rnacentral:rRNA from 1 species
AGAUUGAACGCUGGCGGCAGGCCUAACACAUGCAAGUCGAGCGGUAGAGAGGUGCUUGCAUCUCUUGAGAGCGGCGGACGGGUGAGUAAUGCCUAGGAAUCUGCCUAGUGGUGGGGGAUAACGUUCGGAAACGGACGCUAAUACCGCAUACGUCCUACGGGAGAAAGCGGGGGACCUUCGGGCCUCGCGCCAUUAGAUGAGCCUAGGUCGGAUUAGCUAGUUGGUGAGGUAAUGGCUCACCAAGGCGACGAUCCGUAACUGGUCUGAGAGGAUGAUCAGUCACACUGAACUGAGACACGGUCCAGACUCCUACGGGAGGCAGCAGUGGGAAUAUUGGACAAUGGGCGAAAGCCUGAUCCAGCCAUGCCGCGUGUGUGAAGAGGUCUCGGAUUGUAAAGCUACUUAAGUUGGAGUAAGGUUGAACCUAAUAGUUGAUACUUGACUUACCGA